rnacentral:rRNA from 1 species
UACGUAGGGUGCAAGCGUUGUCCGGAAUUAUUGGGCGUAAAGAGCUCGUAGGCGGUCUGUCGCGUCGGAUGUGAAAACCCAGGGCUCAACCCUGGGCCUGCAUUCGAUACGGGCAGACUAGAGUUCGGUAGGGGAGACUGGAAUUCCUGGUGUAGCGGUGAAAUGCGCAGAUAUCAGGAGGAACACCGGUGGCGAGGGCGGGUCUCUGGGCCGAAACUGACGCUGAGGAGCGAAAGCGUGGGGAGCAAACAGG